UCGAGCGAACUUCUUCGGAAGUGAGCGGCGGACGGGUGAGUAACACGUGGGUAACCUGCCCUAUACACACGGAUAACGUACCGAAAGGUACGCUAAUACGAGAUAACAUAUUUUUAUCGCAUGAUAAGAAUAUCAAAGCUCCGGCGGUAUAGGAUGGACCCGCGUCUGAUUAGCUAGUUGGUAAGGUAACGGCUUACCAAGGCGACGAUCAGUAGCCGACCUGAGAGGGUGAUCGGCCACAUUGGAACUGAGACACGGUCCAAACUCCUACGGGAGGCAGCAGUGGGGAAUAUUGCACAAUGGGCGAAAGCCUGAUGCAGCAACGCCGCGUGAGCGAUGAAGGCCUUCGGGUCGUAAAGCUCUGUCCUCAAGGAAGAUAAUGACGGUACUUGAGGAGGAAGCCCCGGCUAACUACGUGCCAGCAGCCGCGGUAAUACGUAGGGGGCUAGCGUUAUCCGGAAUUACUGGGCGUAAAGGGUGCGUAGGUGGUUUCUUAAGUCAGAGGUGAAAGGCUACGGCUCAACCGUAGUAAGCCUUUGAAACUGAGAAACUUGAGUGCAGGAGAGGAGAGUAGAAUUCCUAGUGUAGCGGUGAAAUGCGUAGAUAUUAGGAGGAAUACCAGUUGCGAAGGCGGCUCUCUGGACUGUAACUGACACUGAGGCACGAAAGCGUGGGGAGCAAACAGGAUUAGAUACCCUGGUAGUCCACGCCGUANACGAUGAGUACUAGCUGUCGGAGGUUANCCCCUUCGGUGGCGCAGCUAACGCAUUAAGUACUCCGCCUGGGAAGUACGCUCGCAAGAGUGAAACUCNAAGGAAUUGACGGGGACCCGCACAAGUNGCGGAGCAUGU
rnacentral:rRNA from 1 species